rnacentral:rRNA from 1 species
AAGUCGUAACAAGGUUUCCCUCCGCAGCUGAGCCUCGGAGACCUUGCACCCCUCUGGGGGGGGGCANNNNNNCUAUAAAUAAGGCUGGCCACUUGCAAGUUGACCGUGAGGUCAGCGACAUAAUCGAAUUGACGGGGACUUCCUAAAGCCUGCAGCACCACCUAGACGGGGAAACCCGUUUAGUACGGUAAGAGCCUGUAGGAUACACAAUGGAUAAUCCGCAGCCGAGCCCCUACUGCGAAAGCCACGGGGAAGGUUCACAGACUAGGUGAUUAUGGGUCCAGCCGCUUGUUGGAUCUAAGAUAUAGUCGGUCUCUGGGGGAAAUCCCAGGGGUUUCAGCGUCCGUAGGUGAACCUGCGGAAGGAUCAUUAAUGUAACCGGACCGGUCCUUUGCCGUAAAACGCACCGGAUUGGAAAGGGAGAUAUCAUACACCCUGUGUUUAUUUACCUUUGUUGCUUUGGCGGGCCGUCCCUUAGGCGUCGGCCCCGGCUGAUCGCGCCCGCCAGAGGACCCAAACUCUUUUAUCAGUGAUGUCUGAGUACUAUAUAAUAGUUAAAACUUUCAACAACGGAUCUCUUGGUUCUGGCAUCGAUGAAGAACGCAGCGAAAUGCGAUAAGUAAUGUGAAUUGCAGAAUUCAGUGAAUCAUCGAAUCUUUGAACGCACAUUGCGCCCGCUGGUAUUCCGGCGGGCAUGCCUGUUCGAGCGUCAUUAUGACCAAUCAAGCUCUGCUUGGCCUUGGGGCCCGCUGUACCGGCGGCCCUUAAAAUUAGUGGCGGUGCCGUCUGGCUCUAAGCGUAGUAAUACUUCUCGCUAUAGGGUCCAGUCGUUUACCCGCCAGANCCCCCAACUUCUUAGGUUGACNUCGGAUCAGGUANGGAUANCCGCUGAACUUAAGCAUAUCAAUAAGCGGAGGAAAAGAAACCAACAGGGAUUGCCUCAGUAACGGCGAGUGAAGCGGCAACAGCUCAAAUUUGAAAUCUGCCUCUAGGCCGAGUUGUAAUUUGUAGAAGAUGCUUCGGGUGUGGCACUGGUCUAAGUUCCUUGGAACAGGACGUCAUAGAGGGUGAGAAUCCCGUACGUGACUGGCUGCCUUCGCCUAUGUGAAGCUCUUUCGACGAGUCGAGUUGUUUGGGAAUGCAGCUCAAAAUGGGUGGUAUAUUUCAUCUAAAGCUAAAUAUUGGCCAGAGACCGAUAGCGCACAAGUAGAGUGAUCGAAAGAUGAAAAGCACUUUGGAAAGAGAGUUAAACAGUACGUGAAAUUGUUGAAAGGGAAGCGCUUGCAAUCAGACUUGCGCGCCGUCGAUCAUCCGAGGUUUUCCCCGGUGCACUCGGCGGUGCUCAGGCCAGCAUCGGUUUCGGUGGUUAGAUAAAGGCCUUGGGAAUGUAGCUCCCCCGGGAGUGUUAUAGCCCUCGGUGCAAUGUAGCCUAUCGGGACCGAGGACCGCGCUUCGGCUAGGAUGCUGGCGUAAUGGUUGUAAGCGACCCGUCUUGAAACACGGACC